rnacentral:misc_RNA from 1 species
GCGUGAGGAUAAUCCGCUCUACCGUGAUCCAAUCUUUCGCGAGUUCUUUGACGUCCCGAAGCAGCUCGAGAAAGAGAUCAACGCCACCGGCUCAGGUGUCAUUGUGGAUGGCGGCUACGUACUCACGAACGCACACGUCGUCCAGGGCGCUUCAACUGUGCAGGUGACGACGAAGGAUAACCAAAAGUUUUCCGCAAAGGUCGUCGGGCAGGAUUCGCCAACGGAUGUCGCGGUGCUUCAGAUCCAGAACCCCGUUGGACUGCAGGCGAUUUCUUUUGGAGACAGCGACACGCUCGAAGUCGGUGACUUUGUGCUUGCGAUCGGCAAUCCCUUCGGCCUCGGCCAGACAGUUACCUCCGGACUCGUCAGCGCGCUAGGGCGCACCGGCCUCAGCAAGCAAGGUUAUGAGGACUUCAUCCAGACCGAUGCCGCGAUCAACCCGGGCAAUUCUGGAGGUGCCUUAGUGAGCCUGCGUGGUGAACUGGUCGGUAUCAACUCAGCCAUUAUCUC